rfam:Amphimedon queenslandica AMPQTscaffold_13516_Cont431, whole genome shotgun sequence.
GCAGUGAUGGCCGAGUGGUUAAGGCGUUGGACUCGAAAUCCAAUGGGCUAUGCCCGCGCAGGUUCGAAUCCUGCUCACUGCG